rnacentral:rRNA from 1 species
UACGAAGGGGGCUAGCGUUGUUCGGAAUUACUGGGCGUAAAGCGCACGUAGGCGGGUUUGUAAGUUGGGGGUGAAAUCCCGGGGCCCAACCCCGGAACUGCCUUCAAGACUGCAGACCUGGAGGUCAGGAGAGGCGAGCGGAAUACCGAGUGUAGAGGUGAAAUUCGUAGAUAUUCGGUGGAACACCAGUGGCGAAGGCGGCUCGCUGGACUGAUACUGACGCUGAGGUGCGAAAGCGUGGGGAGCAAACAGG